rnacentral:lncRNA from 1 species
GCCUGCUGCCAACUCAACAAGUCACAAGCCAGGCAGGUUUGGUGGUUUGGACAAUGAACCUGAUUUGGAGAGAUCACGACACCGUUGGAGAAUCAUCCAGUUAAUUUCCUUGUCUGUGAGCUCCAUGACGGGCAGACAUCAUGCCUUCCUCUCUCUAUUUCCAUCAUCAGGCACUGGACCCUAUACACACUAGAGGCAGAGGACUGUGCAGCUUAGAAGAAGGCAAAUCCAAAAGAAGGACAUGGUUUGGAUCCCCCCAUACGUGGAGAAAAGCCACCUACCAUCCAAAAACUUGCAUCUUGGACUAUUACAUGGA